UGGGGAAUUUUGGACAAUGGGCGAAAGCCUGAUCCAGCAAUGCCGCGUGUGUGAAGAAGGCCUUCGGGUUGUAAAGCACUUUUGUCCGGAAAGAAAUCCUUGGCUCUAAUACAGUCGGGGGAUACGGUACCGGAAGAAUAAGCACCGGCUAACUACGUGCCAGCAGCCGCGGUAAUACGUAGGGUGCAAGCGUUAAUCGGAAUUACUGGGCGUAAAGCGUGCGCAGGCGGUUUGCUAAGACCGAUGUGAAAUCCCCGGGCUCAACCUGGGAACUGCAUUGGUGACUGGCAGGCUAGAGUAUGGCAGAGGGGGGUAGAAUUCCACGUGUAGCAGUGAAAUGCGUAGAGAUGUGGAGGAAUACCGAUGGCGAAGGCGAGCCCCCUGGGCCAAUACUGACGCUCAUGCACGAAAGCGUGGGGAGCAAACAGGAUUAGAUACCCUAGGUAGUCCCAGCGCCCUAAACGAUGU
rnacentral:rRNA from 1 species